UUUUGAGAAAGCGAGCGCCUCUUCGAUUGAUUCGGAGAACGAUGCCUCAUCGAUUUUUGAGAAAGCAAUCAUGCUGGGGGGUCUGGCUCUCGAGAUUCGGGGAGCAGUGUCUCUUCGAUUUUUGAGAAAGUAAUCAUGUUGGGAGUCUGGCUCUCGAGAUUCGGAGGGCGGUGCCUCUUCGAUUUUGGAGCAAGCAAUCUUGUUGGGAGUGUUUUCUCGAAUGUGAGUAAAGGUUGGGCAUGUUUGCUAGUCUACCUUGCCACGAAGCACAGAGGUUGACACACAGGGACUUUCCAAUUAUCCAGCAAUGGUACUGUUCCUUUACCCUCUCUUCGAUUUUUUAAGAAAGUAGUCAUGUUGGGAGUCUGGCUCUCGAGAUUCGGAGGACGGUGCCUCUUCGAUUUUGGAGCAAGCAAUCUUAUUGGGAGUGUUUUCUCGAAUGUGAGUAAAGGUUGGGCAUGUUUGCUAGUCUACCUUGCCACGAAGCACAGAGGUUGACACACAGGGACUUUCCAAUUAUCCAGCAGUGGUACUGUUCCUUUACCCUUGUGGGUAAUAAUAUGGUAGCUAGACCUUCAAAAUUU
rnacentral:lncRNA from 1 species